rnacentral:rRNA from 1 species
GACGAACGCUGGCGGCGUGCUUAACACAUGCAAGUCGAACGGAAAGGCCCUGCUUUUGUGGGGUGCUCGAGUGGCGAACGGGUGAGUAACACGUGAGUAACCUGUCCUUGACUUUGGGAUAUCUUCAGGAAACUGGAGCUAAUACCGGAUAGGAUCUCCUGCUGCAUGGUGGGGGUUGGAAAGUUUCGGCGGUUGGGGUUGGACUGGCGGCUUAUCAGCUUGUUUGUGGGGUAGUGGCAUAGCAUGGCUUUGCCGCGUAGCCUGCCUGAGAGGGUGGGAGGCCCAGUUGGGACGGGGAUGAGGCACAGCCUCGAACGGUAGGGAGCAGUGGAGAAUAGUGCACAAUGGGCGGAAGGAAGGUGCGGCAACGCCGCGUGCGGGAUGAGGGCAUUGGGUUUGUGAACCGCAUUCGCCUGAGACGAGGCGUGAGUGACGGUAACGGGUAAAGAAGCACCGGCUAACUACGUG